rnacentral:rRNA from 1 species
UACAGAGGUCCCGAGCGUUGUUCGGAUUCAUUGGGCGUAAAGGGUGCGUAGGCGGCGGGGCCAGUCUGAUGUGAAAUCCCGGGGCUCAACCCCGGAACUGCAUUGGAUACUGCCUUGCUAGAGUACUGGAGAGGGAACUGGAAUUUACGGUGUAGCAGUGAAAUGCGUAGAGAUCGUAAGGAAGGCCGGUGGGCGAAGGCGAGUUCCUGGACAGUUACUGACGCUGAGGCACGAAGGCCAGGGGAGCAAACGGG